UCCACGCCGUAAACGAUGGAUACUAGCUGUUGGGCGUAAGCUCAGUGGCCAAGCGAAAGUGAUAAGUAUCCCACCUGGGGAGUACGAUCGCAAGAUUGAAACUCAAAGGAAUUGACGGGGGCCCGCACAAGCGGUGGAGCAUGUGGUUUAAUUCGAUGAUACGCGAGGAACCUUACCAGGGCUUAAAUGUAGAGUGACAGGGCUAGAGAUAGCUUUUUCUCGGACACUUUACAAGGUGCUGCAUGG
rnacentral:rRNA from 1 species